rnacentral:rRNA from 1 species
GACGAACGCUGGCGGCGUGCCUAACACAUGCAAGUCGAACGGGGUAAUUUCUUCGGAGAUUACUUAGUGGCGAACGGGUGAGUAACGCGUGAGAAGCCUGCCUUUCAGUGGGGGACAACAGUUGGAAACGACUGCUAAUACCGCAUAAUGUUAUUUGGGGGCAUCCCUGAAUAACCAAAGCUUUAUGUGCUGAAAGAUGGUCUCGCGUCUGAUUAGCUAGAUGGCGGGGUAACGGCCCACCAUGGCGACGAUCAGUAGCCGGUCUGAGAGGAUGAACGGCCACAUUGGGACUGAGAUACGGCCCAGACUCCUACGGGAGGCAGCAGUGGGGAAUAUUGGGCAAUGGGGGAAACCCUGACCCAGCAACGCCGCGUGAAGGAAGAAGGCCUUCGGGUUGUAAACUUCUUUUACCAGGGACGAAGAACGUGACGGUACCUGGAGAAAAAGCAACGGCUAACUACGUGCCAGCCGCCGCAGUAACAC